AGUGUCAGAGGAGGGAAAUGGGUGAUGCUGGUGACAGAAGAUAGAGAGCGCAGAUGAUGAUAUGCUCUAAUGGAGUUUGUAUAUCACUCCUUUGUGCUCUCUGUGCUUCUGUCAUCAGGCCAAUUCAGUCCCUCCCCUCACUUUCUU
rnacentral:pre_miRNA from 1 species